CCUACGGGCGGCUGCAGUGAGGAAUAUUGGUCAAUGGACGAGAGUCUGAACCAGCCACGUAGCGUGAAGGAUGACUGCCCUAUGUGUUGUAAACUUCUUUUAUAUGGGAGUAAAAUGUUCCACGUGUGGGAUUUUGUAUGUACCAUAUGAAUACGGAUCGGCUAACUCCGUGCCAGCAGCUGCGGUAAUACGGAGGAUCCGAGCGUUAUCCGGAUUUAUUGGGUUUAAAGGGAGCGUAGGUGGAUUGUUAAGUCAGUUGUGAAAGUUUGCGGCUUAACCGGAAAAUUGCAGUUGAAACUGGCAGUCUUGAGUACAGUAGAGGUGGGCGGAAUUCGUGGUGUAGCGGUGAAAUGCUUAGAUAUUACGAAGAACACCGAUUGCGAAGGCAGCUCACUGGACUGUAACUGACACUGAGGCUCGAAAGUGUGGGGAUCAAACAGGAGUAGAUACCCUAGUAGUC
rnacentral:rRNA from 1 species